CCUACGGGAGGCAGCAGUGAGGAAUAUUGGUCAAUGGACGGAAGUCUGAACCAGCCAUGCCGCGUGCAGGAAGACGGCCCUAUGAGUUGUAAACUGCUUUUGUACAAGGGUAAACCUGAAUACGUGUAUUCAGCUGAAAGUACUUUACGAAUAAGGAUCGGCUAACUCCGUGCCAGCAGCCGCGGUAAUACGGAGGAUCCAAGCGUUAUCCGGAUUUAUUGGGUUUAAAGGGUGCGUAGGCGGGUUGAUAAGUUAGAGGUGAAAGGUCGGGGCUUAACCCUGGAACUGCCUCUAAUACUGGUGGUCUAGAGAGUAGAUGAGGUAGGCGGAAUGUGUGGUGUAGCGGUGAAAUGCUUAGAGAUCAUACAGAACACCGAUUGCGAAGGCAGCUUACCAAUCUAUAACUGACGUUGAGGCACGAAAGCGUGGGGAGCAAACAGGAUUAGAUACCCCGGUAGUC
rnacentral:rRNA from 1 species